rnacentral:rRNA from 1 species
UGGCGGACGGGUGAGUAAUGUCUGGGAAACUGCCCGAUGGAGGGGGAUAACUACUGGAAACGGUAGCUAAUACCGCAUAACGUCGCAAGACCAAAGAGGGGACCUUCGGGCCUCUUGCCACCGGAUGUGCCCAGAUGGGAUUAGCUAGUAGGUGGGGUAACGGCUCACCUAGGCGACGAUCCCUAGCUGGUCUGAGAGGAUGACCAGCCACACUGGAACUGAGACACGGUCCAG